rnacentral:lncRNA from 1 species
CUCCAAAAUAGAUGAUUUUCAGAAUAUCCUGAAUUUAUUUUGUGUUCACAUUUAACUGAUUUAGUUUUGUUACCUUUUUUCCCCAGAUGAAGAUUGAUGCUGGUCUAUCAUGUUAUGAGGGAUGACAAGUGUUCUUAGGAUUUUAAAAAUUACUAAUGUAAUAUCCUCUUUGGAGGGGCAAGAGCUUCCAAUUUUGAGACUUUAUAAACAUUAUGAAAAAUAUUUGUAGAAGUGUUAUCCGUUAGUGUUUGUUGCAGUUAAAUACCUUCGAUAUGGCGAGUUGAUAAAUAUUGAAUUCUCUUUAUAUUUGCCUAAAUUGUAGGUCGUUAGCAAUGACAUGUUUACUGGAAUUGAUAGUUAUCCUAAUACAAAUCUAGAACUCAUUUAUUCUACUAAUUAUUCAAGUAAUCUAGA